CCUACGGGAGGCAGCAGUGGGGAAUUUUGGACAAUGGGCGAAAGCCUGAUCCAGCAAUGCCGCGUGUGGGAAGAAGGCCUUCGGGUUGUAAACCACUUUUGUACGGAACGAAACGGUUCGCUUUAAUACAGUGGGCUAAUGACGGUACCGUAAGAAUAAGCACCGGCUAACUACGUGCCAGCAGCCGCGGUAAUACGUAGGGUGCGAGCGUUAAUCGGAAUUACUGGGCGUAAAGCGUGCGCAGGCGGUCAUAUAAGACAGUUGUGAAAUCCCCGGGCUCAACCUGGGAAUUGCAUCUGUGACUGUAUAGCUAGAGUACGGUAGAGGGGGAUGGAAUUCCGCGUGUAGCAGUGAAAUGCGUAGAUAUGCGGAGGAACACCGAUGGCGAAGGCAAUCCCCUGGACCUGUACUGACGCUCAUGCACGAAAGCGUGGGGAGCAAACAGGAUUAGAUACCCUGGUAGUCCACGCCCUAAACCGAUGUCAACUGGUUGUUGGGUGCAUUAGUACUCAGUAACGAAGCUAACGCGUGAAGUUGACCGCCUGGGGAGUACGGCCGCAAGGUUGAAACGUCAAAGGAAUUGACGG
rnacentral:rRNA from 1 species